UUGAACGCAGAUAAGCGCGCAGUUUCAGAGACAGCAGUUCAGUUGUGAAGACGCUUCUGAAAGCCACUGCGAAAAAACACAGAUAGAGACUCUUAACACCUUUGAACACGGUGCAGACUUUAAAUAUUUGUUUAACUCUUCGAGGUUUAUUGUUUAAAGUCUCUCGGAGAUCGUUUAAGCUCGGUUUGUUGGUUUGUGAACAACCGAGACGACUGAGGAGAUGAUGUCUUCAACGACUGAAUACCGAGAUUUUUUUGAACGGCAAACUCAACUUUUGCCACAUCAUAUUUGGCGAGACCAGCCAUGAGCGCUGUGGACAAGCUGAAGAUAUCUGAUGAUACCCGAGGGCAGAUCAUCCGGCUGACUGCACAGAUCAAGCGUGCAAUAUAGGUGAGUAAAUUAUUGCUUAUAGUUUAAAUUUAAACAUCUGUGUGGUCUGCUGGUGGUGAGUUCUGGUCUGGAUUAAGAUAGUGUCUAUAAAAAGGUUCUCCAGCUAAAAGAACAAAUUGAUACAAAAAAUUGCAGGAGGGUACCAGGUCUCAAAGCAAGGUAUGAAUGAGGAUGAAUGAAUGAGCAUGCAGUAAGGCCUGUAGAUAUAGUUUAGAGAUAUUUAUUACCCAGAGAUGAAUUGCGAGAAAGCCUGAGAAGAAAGGCUGUCUGUCUUGAGAUGAAUAAGACGUUAUUAUAAAUAAGGAAUAUAUAGAUAUAUAUAACCCGUAUCCUCAAAAACAAUUUUCCUUUUUAAAGAAAGAGUUUAAACAAUGUAUAAGAAUUUGAACGUUUUUGAAGAGCCUGCUAUUGCUUGUUGAAAUAUUGUGACCAUAAUAAAAAAGAUAUGAGGUGUAUUUAUGGGACGACCAGGGCAUUGCCUUGCGAGAGCUCACAUAGGACAAACACCUAAAAAAGAAAGAAAAGAAAAAGAAGGUGAUAUAUUAGGGACGAUCACGGCUGAAAGGCUGCGUGAGACCCAACAUAGGAAAAAUCACCCAUGGCCACAAUACGAUGCAUGUACUAUAAGUCAAAGAAUACUAAAACUUUUUCUCCUAAGAUAUUGGCUUAUAAACGAUACGAUAGCUGAUAUUUCUUUUAAUCAUGAGAGUAGUUUUGAGUUUAUAUUUUGAAACUUUUUCUUCAUUGGUUUUAAAUGUAAACUAGGUACUUAUGAGUUCUUUGCUUUAAGAAUUUUCUUUCUUCGUAUCGAUUUUUAUAGAUUUAUUAUUCAUAAUUAAUGACAGAAGAUUGAUUGUUUAAGACCUAUGAUUUUGAAGCUUCUGUCCCAUUAUUGAUUUAUAUGAUCACAAAUUAAUUUUUUAGUUCUAUGAUUGAGAUUUUUUUCUCCAUUAGCGACUUUUUCUCUUUUUUUUUUUUUUUGUUGCAGUUCAUAGUUCUGGUCUUCAUUGUUGUCCCUAUAAUUGCUAUAAUUCCUUGCUCGCACACUCACUCACUCACUCACUCACUCACUCACUCACUCACUCAUACACACUCACUCACUCAUACACACUCACUCACUCACUCACUCACUCACUCACUCUCACACACUCAUACACACUCACUCACUCAGUCACUCACACAAACUCACUCACACACACACUUUUUAUUC